rnacentral:rRNA from 1 species
GAUCAUGGCUCAGAGUGAACGCUGGCGGCAGGCCUAAUACAUGCAAGUCGAAGGCAGCACAGCAGAGCUUGCUCUGUGGGUGGCGAGUGGCGGACGGGUGAGGAAUACGUGGGAAUCUGCCCAGUCGUGGGAGAUAACGUAGGGAAACUUACGCUAAUACCGCAUGCGCCCUUCGGGGGGAAAGCCGGGGACCUUCGGGCCUGGCGCGAUUGGAUGAGCCCACGUCGGAUUAGCUAGUUGGCGGGUAAAGGCCCACCAAGGCGACGAUCCGUAGCUGGGUCUGAGAGGAUGAUCAGCCACACUGGAACUGAGACACGGUCCAGACUCCUACGGGAGGCAGCAGUAGGGAAUAUUGGACAAUGGGCGCAAGCCUGAUCCAGCCAUGCCGCGUGAGUGAAGAAGGCCCUCGGGUUGUAAAGCUCUUUUGUCCGGAAAGAAAAGCGCCGGGUUAAUACCCUGGUGUCCUGACGGUACCGGAAGAAUAAGCACCGGCUAACUUCGUG